UCACACGCUAAUAGGGAGCCAGCAGGCACGCACCAGGCCCUGUUCCGGGCCACGGUCGCAGACAGGGCAGGCACCCGUUCAUGGGGCUGCUUCUCCGCUUACUGCUGUCUGUGCCCUUGAGCCUGCAGCUGACCUCGCAGUGAUGGGCAAGUCCCUCAUCCUCAGGCUCAGUUCCUUAUCGGUCAAUAGGGGUCACAACCGUCCCCAUCUCCUGUGUAGUCGUGAAGGUCCAUGGGAGAUGGGGAGGGAGGAUUGACUAGUACCUGGAACUAGACAAGAGUCUAGUAGAAGAAUGUAAGAAGGUGGAAGGAAACUGAAUUAGGAGUCAGAAGACCCAGGUUCAAGUUCUGACUUUGCCAUUUAUUUACUGGCAAUGGAUCAUCCAUGACAAUGGAUUGAGUUCCUGCUCUGAGGUCUGUCUUAGGUGCUGGAGACACAGUGGUGAACACAGCAGACAAAGUCCCUGGCCUCAUGGAACUCACAGUCCAGGGGGAGAGACAGGCUUCCCAUUGGCUGAAACCCACUAUGACCUCAAGGCAAGGGAGCCUGGGCGGUGGAGGACCCACAGGUCAGCCGUCCAGGGCACCAAGCGAGCUGAAGAUGGGAGGAUGGCAGAUCUAGAGGGCCAAGCAGAGAAUAGCCAAGUCUGGGGACAAAGUUGGGCAACAGCAUUGGGAAUGUAAAACCCAGAUUGAGAGACCCACCAAGAGGCUGACGAGUGACCGGAUGCAGCCCUUCUCUUUCCAG
rnacentral:lncRNA from 1 species